UUGAGCGUAGUGCGAUGAAAGUUGCAUGCUGCGUUCUUACCGGGGGAAAGCUCGAAAGGGCCUACCUAUCGGGAU
rnacentral:ncRNA from 1 species